AUUGAACGCUGGCGGCAGGCCUAACACAUGCAAGUCGAGCGGAUGAAGGGAGCUUGCUCCUGGAUUCAGCGGCGGACGGGUGAGUAAUGCCUAGGAAUCUGCCUGGUAGUGGGGGAUAACGUCCGGAAGCGGGCGCUAAUACCGCAUACGUCCUGAGGGAGAAAGUGGGGGAUCUUCGGACCUCACGCUAUCAGAUGAGCCUAGGUCGGAUUAGCUAGUUGGUGGGGUAAAGGCCUACCAAGGCGACGAUCAGUAACUGGUCUGAGAGGAUGAUCAGUCACACUGGAACUGAGACACGGUCCAGACUCCUACGGGAGGCAGCAGUGGGGAAUAUUGGACAAUGGGCGAAAGCCUGAUCCAGCCAUGCCGCGUGUGUGAAGAAGGUCUUCGGAUUGUAAAGCACUUUAAGUUGGGAGGAAGGGCAGUAAGUUAAUACCUUGCUGUUUUGACGUUACCAACAGAAUAAGCACCGGCUAACUUCGUG
rnacentral:rRNA from 1 species